UACGUAGGGAGCGAGCGUUGUCCGGAAUCAUUGGGCGUAAAGCGCGUGUAGGCGGUCCGGUAAGUCCGCUGUGAAAGUCGGGGGCUCAACCCUCGAAUGCCGGUGGAUACUGUCGGGCUAGAGUACGGAAGAGGCGAGUGGAAUUCCUGGUGUAGCGGUGAAGUGCGCAGAUAUCAGGAGGAACACCAAUUGCGAAGGCAGCUCGCUGGGACGUUACUGACGCUGAGACGCGAAAGCGUGGGGAGCAAACAGG
rnacentral:rRNA from 1 species